GCGGGUGUAACUCAGCGGUAGAGUGUUUGCUUCCCAAGCAAAAGGUCACGGGUUCGAAUCCCGCCACCCGCU
rnacentral:tRNA from 1 species